rnacentral:rRNA from 1 species
UGAGGAAUAUUGCGCAAUGGCCGAAAGGCUGACGCAGCGACGCCGCGUGAAGGAUGAAGUUCGUUAGAAUGUAAACUUCUUUUGUAGGGGAUGAAUGUGCCGUUUUGCGGCAUUGACCGUACCCUGCGAAUAAGGAUCGGCUAACUACGUGCCAGCAGCCGCGGUAAUACGUAGGAUCCGAGCGUUGUCCGGAUUUACUGGGUGUAAAGGGCGUGUAGGUGGGUCUCUAAGUCGGUGGUGAAAGCCCGCAGCUCAACUGCGGAAUUGCCAUUGAUACUGGAGGUCUUGAGUACGGCAGAGGGAAAUAGAAUUCAUGGUGUAGCGGUGAAAUGUGUAGAUAUCAAGAGGAACACCUGAGGUGAAGACGGGUUGCUGGGCUGACACUGACGCUGAGGCGCGAAAGCCAGGGGAGCAAACGGGAUUAGAUACCCAUGUAGUCCCUGAGCGGGCUGGCAAGGCGCAU